rnacentral:lncRNA from 1 species
UGACACCCCAAACUUUUAUGAUAGAUCAAGAGGUCCAACUAUGUAAGUUUAGGGUCCUAUUAGUCAAUUAAAUUAUGUUAUUAUUUAAAUCUCCCAGUAUUUUGAAUUACGUUAAUUUAAAUUAAUUUUAUUUUUUAUUUUCCAAAAGCUUAAUUUCAAAUAAUAACAUUUUUAGAAAAAAUGAGGGAAUUAGAAAUUUGGCAUAGUGAAAAGUGGGUAAAAUCCCCG